GACGAACGCUGGCGGCGCGCCUAACACAUGCAAGUCGAACGGAGCUGAGAGAAGCUUGCUUUUCUUAGCUUAGUGGCGAACGGGUGAGUAACGCGUGAGUACCCUGCCCUGGAGUGGGGGACAACAGUUGGAAACGACUGCUAAUACCGCAUAAGCCCACGAUCCGGCAUCGGAUUGAGGGAAAAGGAUUUAUUCGCUUCAGGAUGGACUCGCGUCCAAUUAGCUAGUUGGUGAGGUAACGGCCCACCAAGGCGACGAUUGGUAGCCGGACUGAGAGGUUGAACGGCCACAUUGGGACUGAGACACGGCCCAGACUCCUACGGGAGGCAGCAGUGGGGGAUAUUGCACAAUGGGGGAAACCCUGAUGCAGCGACGCCGCGUGGAGGAAGAAGGUUUUCGGAUUGUAAACUCCUGUCGUUAGGGACGAUAAUGACGGUACCUAACAAGAAAGCACCGGCUAACUACGUG
rnacentral:rRNA from 1 species